CCUGUCUCAAAAAGACAAAAAAAAGCACAACAACAACAAAACCAACCCAAACAAUGCUGGCAGGAGCCAGUGGACUAUUUGAAAUGAGGCACGAGUAUGUAGUCCGAGUAAACAGAGGUUCUUUCACAGCCUGGCCCGGGCCGGCCCGGGAGAAAGGGCUGCUGGGAGGCAAGGGAUACCAUACAGUGCAGAAAGCCCUUCUGAGAUAUUUAUUUUGCUAGAAAAUGUGGCUAGAAAAUAGGGGCAAGGUUCCACGCCCCCGCCGGCCAGGCUGGUCCACCUGCCUCCCCUGUCUGCGCCAGUUCCAGGCAGCGGAGUCCAGAAGUCACUCCCAAAGCGCAGUGGCGUUUCUGUUUCUGUCUGUGCUUCCCCAGACAAUGGAACACUGUGGAAGCACCAAUACUCUAGGGCCUGGUUACAGAAAGCCUGCUCCGUCCCUGGCCGGAUACAACCUCCCCGGGAAGCCCUCUCAAACUGCUUCACCUCUGGGCCGGGGAUACAGCUCAGGGGCACAAGCGCCUGCCUGCGUUGGUUACAGAGGGGCCCGUGGUCUAAACCGGCCAGUUCUCUAAGGCCGGCGCAAAGAGCCGCAGGAGCCUGCUUGCCCUGGGGAAGAACACGGGCCACCUGGCAGGGAGCAGGCACAGGCUCCGCAGCCCGGUGCUCGGCGCGGGCUGUGCGCGUCAGCACUCAGCCACUCUCAGCUACAGCCCCGCACAGGCUCCGGGAGCAUCAGCGUGACCUCCGCGUCCACCCUUCACAAAGGGCAGCGAGGUUGCCGCUGUGAAAAAUGGCACCCUGUUCCCAGGGCACCGCGGAGUCACCCCACAGCCAUCCUUGAGAUGUCACCACUGAGGUAGGACCUAUCAACGAACCCUAACUUGUGUAAGAGGAGCUAGCACCUUGCUCAGAUCCACAGCCGAAGAGCCAGGUGUGGCUGGGGAUAGUUGUAAUCCCAGCACCUAGGAGGCUGAAGCCAGGGGACUUGGGCUGCACAGGGAGCUCACGGCCACCUGCACACACACCACGACCCUCUCAAAGGAACAAGAACAAAAAACAAAGCAAAGCACUUCAGGGACAAGCACCCUCCCUCGCCACGCUCAGCCAGUGGCUUCUGUCAGGCACACUACUGCCCUGGGCGUGGCUGUGCUCAAGCGGGUCCCAGAGCUACAGGCGCUGGGCCAGGGCUGGGCACCAGCACAAAGCAGGCCUCACCAGCCCGCAGGGGACCUGCGCCCCCUACAGCCCAAGGACCGAAGCGCACCUCCAGCCACGUCCCAGGCAGCCCCAGGCCACACAGACUCACUCGGACCACUCUGCACUGGAGUCAUAUUUAUUUUUUCCUUGGCAAAAAUUCAACUGCUACAUUUUUAAAAACAGAAAAUCUCAAAUGAUCAAACACAUUACCCAUCACAGAGGAGGGUCUGACAACAGUACAAAACAUCCUACUUAAGGUUUUUUUUAAAAUAUACAAGUCAGUUUAAAAUGAUAGAAGUUCUGUGAGAACUAAGAAAUCUACAGCCCGUAGUUUAAUAAUAGAAAAAAAAUUAAGACAAAAGAUUUCCAGCAUCCAGCAUUUUGCUUAAUUCCUUGUUGAUAGCACCUAUUUCUCUAGGUUAGAAGGUGAGAAGGAGCGGUGUACGCUGCGUGCCGCCCCGGCAGGACAGGCCGCCCACCCGCCAGCAGCCCUGGCCAGUACCAAGCAGACUCUUCUUCCGACGCCCCCCUUACACCCCGAGAGGAGGGGGAACUGUGAGAGCAACGACGACACUGGGGUACAGGCACAAGUGUGACUUCUCCACUCCCCAGGGCGGGCGACUGACACAGAAGCAGCGUACUGGCGUAGAGGAUCUGUGAGUAGGAACAGGCCUUUCUUCAGUAUGAUGUAUAAAAAGCAGGGAACUGGACAUCACAGUCACCUGCAAGUUUAAAAACCGCAGACUACACAGUUCAGGGAGGCACAGACAUGUCACUACCGUACCGAUGGUGCUCCACACACCACGCUGGUUGCAGGCCACCUCACCACACCGGGGCUGCGCCAACAGGGGAGAUGACUCCAGCCCUAAGCUCUGCAGCGUCGAGAAAACAAACACUCCACACAUGAAGCACUCACUACACACAGAUACCCCCGCUCCUGCACUGAACCCCACUUAGAAGACAGCAGCAAAACCCACGGGGAGACUGGAAGAACGGUAGAGAAGUUUCUGCUCAAAGCUAAGAGGACUAUGCACGGGAAUCUUCACACACUUGAGAUCUGCCCACUGCCCCCAGCUGUGUCUUACUUGAGGGUAGGGAGAGGAAGACUGGGAUGCAAUUCUCUUUUUUUUUGGUCUUUUUGAGACAGGGUCUCACUAUGCAGUUCAGGCUGGCCUUGAGCUCACUUUGUAGCCCAGGCUGGUCUCGAACUCGCAACAAUCCUGCCUCAGCCUCCUAAGCGUGGGCUGCUACUCUCUUUGCCAAAUCUUUCUACAGCCUCCAAAGCUGCAUUAAUAAUGUUUUAGAGAAAUGGCCACUAAACAGAUGGGAGGGUGCGAGCGGAAGCGACUGACCCCUGGCUGAGCCUCAUCAAGCUGUGAGUACACCGAAGCGCACUCUCUUGGGGACACACGGGUGUGAAGCAGGAGGGCGUAGAUCACUAGAGUCCUGGCGUGGAAAUCCCCAAGCACUCUGAAUUCUAACUCA